UACGGGGGGAGCAAGCGUUGUUCGGAUUUACUGGGCGUAAAGGGCGCGUAGGCGGCCAGCUCAAGUCCGUUGUGAAAUCUCCGGGCUUAACUCGGAAAGGUCAACUGAUACUGCGCGGCUAGAGUGCAGAAGGGGCAACUGGAAUUCUCGGUGUAGCGGUGAAAUGCGUAGAUAUCGAGAGGAACACCUGCGGCGAAGGCGGGUUGCUGGGCUGACACUGACGCUGAUGCGCGAAAGCCAGGGGAGCGAACGGG
rnacentral:rRNA from 1 species